GCCUCGGUGGUGGAAUUGGUAGACGCGCAUGGUUCAGGUCCAUGUGUCCGUAUGGACAUGGGAGUUCGACUCUCCCCCGAGGCACCA
rnacentral:tRNA from 1 species